GUGAAAAAGCAAGAGAUAAUAAAAGCAUGACUCAGUACUUCUAUAGGAACUGCCUACAAACUGUUUUCAGCUUAUUCCAAUAAAUGCCUCAACGUCAAAGAAAAAAGGACUACUCCAACUAAGUAUCUUCACUGAGAUAGUGAAAAAGCCACCAAUCAGUGAUUGAAUACAGCUUGUACUUUCCCUCACAGGGACUGAGAAAUUUCAUAUAACUAAGCAGACAUUUCCACUUGAGUAAGCAAUUAUAUUUGAAAGAGUUAACGGUAAAAAGGAAAUGAAGCCAUUAAAUAACACAGUGGCGGGAUACCAACAAAGCU